GUUUGCUACUGUGAUUUAAGAAAAAAUAAAAUGAGCCAAGUCAGGUUAGUGGAGGGAAGCUUGCCAGUUAGAGCCAUUCACAAGGGAAGCCAAAGUAGGACUAUUUACUUAUUGUAUGUGUAGGAAUACACUGUGGCUGCCUUCAGACACAUCAGAAGAGGCUAUCAGAUCCAUUGUAGAUGAGCCACCGUGUGGUUGCUGGGAAUUGAACUCAGGACCUCAGGAAGAGCAGUCAGUGCUCUUAACUGCUGAGCCAUCUCUCCAGCCCCAGGAACACUGUUUACUGGCUUGCGCUCAAUGGCCCACUCAGCUUGCUUGCUUAUACAACCAGGACUACCUGCCUUGGGUUAGUUAUGCCCACAGCGGGCUGGGCUGUCUCACACCAAUCAGCAAUAGAGAAAUGUCCCCACAGACAUGGCCACAGGCCAAUCAGAUGGAGGCAAUUCCUGGGUAGAGGUUCCCUCUUCUCAGGUUGACUCUAGUUUGUGUCAAGUUGACAGAAAGUAACCAGCACACGCCCACUCUGGUUUUCAAUUGUACACUUACUUACUUACUUACUUACUUAUUGUGUGAUGGUCCAGGGACAACUUUUGGGAGUUGGUUCUUCCCUUUCACCCUAUGGACUUUGGGGAUCAAACUCAAGUGUUCGUGUUUGGCAGCCAGGGUUUUUACCUCCUGAACCAUCUCACAAGCCCUAGACUGUCUUUUGGUCCGGCUGUUUUCUGUGAGCCAGAUUUUUUUUUUUUCCUGAUUGCAUUCCUGUUCUCUUGGAGGGGAGGGGAUGGGGUCCUUCUGUAGGCUAGACUUGCUUCAUACUCUGAUCCUCCUGCCUCCACCUCAUGACACACCUAGCUUAUGUGGUGCUGGGAUGGAACCCAGGGUUUCAGGCAUGGUAGGCAAGCACUCUACCAACUGAGCUAUAACCACAGUCCCAUGUUCCAUGUGCAUGGUGUAGUUAAUAUAAUUCUCUCCCGACCAUACGUUUUGUAAACUGGCUAUUCAAUUUAGGGUCUAGAUCCUGAUGCAUUAAAAAAAAAUAUUGCUUUCAGUAAUUUCUCUUCAUCAAAAGAAAAAGAUUGUCUGAUUUUCUUUUCUUUUCUUUCUUUUUCUUUCUCUCUCUCUUUCUCUCUUUCUUUUUUUGUGGUUUUUAACAGUUAUUGAGAAAAAUAAAAAAUAAAAAAAAAUUUUAAAAGGCGGGGCAGUGGUGGCACACGCCUUUAAUCCCAGCACUUGGGAGGCAGAGACAGGCGGAUUUCUGAGUUUGAGGCCAGCCUGGUCUACAAAGUGAGUUCCAGGACAGCCAGGGCUAUACAGAGAAACCCUGUCUCGAAAAACCAAAAAACAGUUAUAGAGUAUCACUGCCUAGACCUAUCAUCUAAUCAGCUAUUCUAAAAAGAUACUAUGCCAACUCAGCCGUUUCCUUCUGCAAAGUGAGAAAGGCCCGUCACUUACUGUUUGGUUACCCGCUAAUAGCGCUUCUGUAGUUAAAACGGGAAUACUUGGUCCUUUCCUUUGAGUUUCUGAGAUAUAGCUCUUCCCUCCCACCCUUGAGGGUGGCCAAUUUUUAUUUGUGUAUUUUAAAAGUGUUAUCAUGAACAUAAUUGUUUUUCUUUCAAUGUAUUCUCUCUCUCUUUUUUUUCUUUUUUUUUCUUUUUUCUUUUUUCAAGGCAGGGCUUCUCUGUGUAGCCUUCGCUGUCC
rnacentral:lncRNA from 1 species